rnacentral:tRNA from 1 species
GCAGUGGUGGCCCAGUGGUAGAAUUCUCACCUUCCAUGCGGGAGACCCGGGUUCAAUUCCUGGCUAGUGCA